GAGGUGGUCUCCACUGAUAUAUCCCUUAAACAAUGUAAUAUGGUGUCUCCUAUUGCCCUGAAAGAGGUGGUCUCCACUGAUAUAUCCAUUAAACAAUGUAAUAUGGUGUCUCCUAUUGCCCUGAAAGAGGUGGUCUCCACUGAUAUAUCCAUUAAACAAUGUAUUAUGGUGUCUCUUAUUGCCCUGAAAGAGGUGGUCUCCACUGAUAUAUCCCUUAAUGUAUUAUGGUGUCUCCUAUUGUCCUGAAAGAGGUGGUCUCCACUGAUAUAUCCCUUAAUGUAUUAUGGUGUCUCCUAUUGUCCUGAAAGAGGUGGUCUCCCCUGAUAUAUCCCUUAAUGUAAUAUGGUGUCUCCUAUUGACCUGGAAGAGGUGGUCUCCACUGAUAUCCAUUAAACAAUGUAAUAUGGUGUCUCCUAUUGCCCUGAAAGAGGUGGUCUCCACUGAUAUAUCCAUUAAACAAUGUAAUAUGGUGUCUCCUAUUGACCUGGAAGAGGUGGUCUCCAGUGAUAUAUCCAUUAAACAAUGUAAUAUGGUGUCUCCUAUUGCUCAGGAAGAGGUGGUCUCCACUGAUAUAUCCA